GGCUCGAGGACGAACGCUGGCGGCGUGCUUAACACAUGCAAGUCGAACGGUAAGGCCCUUCGGGGUACACGAGUGGCGAACGGGUGAGUAACACGUGGGUGAUCUGCCCUGCACUUCGGGAUAAGCCUGGGAAACUGGGUCUAAUACCGGAUAGGACCAUGGACUUCACGGUUUGUGGUGGAAAGCUUUUGCGGUGUGGGAUGGGCCCGCGGCCUAUCAGCUUGUUGGUGGGGUAAUGGCCUACCAAGGCGACGACGGGUAGCCGGCCUGAGAGGGUGUCCGGCCACACUGGGAUUGAGAUACGGCCCAGACUCCUACGGGAGGCAGCAGUGGGGAAUAUUGCACAAUGGGCGCAAGCCUGAUGCAGCGACGCCGCGUGAGGGAUGACGGCCUUCGGGUUGUAAACCUCUUUCAAUAGGGACGAAGCGCAAGUGACGGUACCUAUAGAAGAAGCACCGGCCAACUACGUG
rnacentral:rRNA from 1 species